CCUACGGGAGGCAGCAGUGAGGAAUAUUGGUCAAUGGACGAGAGUCUGAACCUGCCAAGUAGCGUGAAGGAUGACUGCCCUAUGGGUUGUAAACUUCUUUUAUAUGGGAGUAAAAUGUUCCACGUGUGGGACUUUGUAUGUACCAGAUGAAUAAUGAUCGGCUAACUCCGUGCCAGCAGCCGCGGUAAUACGGAGGAUCCGAGCGUUAGCCGGAUUUAUUGGGUUUAAAGGGAGCGUAGGUGGAUUGUUAAGUCAGUUGUGAAAGUUUGCGGCUCAACCGUAAAAUUGCAGUUGAAACUGGCAGUCUUGAGUACAGUAGAGGUGGGCGGAAUUCGUGGUGUAGCGGUGAAAUGCUUAGAUAUCACGAAGAACUCCGAUUGCGAAGGCAGCUCACUGGACUGCAACUGACACUGAGGCUCGAAAGUGUGGGUAUCAAACAGGAUUAGAUACCCGGGUAGUC
rnacentral:rRNA from 1 species